rnacentral:lncRNA from 1 species
AAGUCUAGAAUCGGUGGGGCACAGCGCUUUUCCCAUUCCUGGUUCUAUCUCAUUGAGGGACAUUGCAAAUUCUGUGAAUUGAGUCUCUAACUUACUUCCGCACUAUUUGCUGGCCUUGGGGCAGCUUUCCAAAGAGUAGAGGAUCCUGGGAUCUCAUCGAUGGUAGGAUUAUCUUCUCCUUCUGUUCCCGAUGACUCAUCAACUGCAUCCUGCGGAUUGAGAGUGAAAAUUGACCAACAAGAACAUUGUGUAGUAUGCAGUUGACGUUUUGCCAGGUGUAAGCCUCCUUCCAUCUAGAAAUUAAUGUGAUAAUAGUCUCUACUUCCACCAUGUCAAUCCAGAGACUUACUUCGGUAGCUCAACUGUGACCAUACCCUUGGGAUGAAUUUCAACAGACUU